AUACGUAGGGAGCGAGCGUUGUCCGGAAUGAUUGGGCGUAAAGGGCGCGUAGGCGGCGCGGUAAGUCUGGAGUGAAAGUCCUGCUUUCAAGGUGGGAAUUGCUUUGGAUACUGCCGCGCUUGAGUGCAGGAGAGGUUAUCGGAAUUCCCGGUGUAGCGGUGAAAUGCGUAGAGAUCGGGAGGAACACCAGUGGCGAAGGCGCCUUUCUGGACUGUGUCUGACGCUCAGAUGCGAAAGCCAGGGUAGCGAACGGGAUUAGAUACCCCGGUAGUCCUGGCCGUAAACGAUGGGUACUAGGUGUGGGAGGUAUCGACUCCUUCCGUGCCGGAGUUAACGCAAUAAGUACCCCGCCUGGGGAGUACGGCCGCAAGGCUUAAACUUAAAGGAAUUGACGGGG
rnacentral:rRNA from 1 species